UGCAGAUUAUGAGAGUAUUAGUUUACAGAUGAGAUUAUUAGUUUACAGAUGAUGAGAUUAUUAGUUUACAGAUGAGAUUAUUAGUUUACAGAUGAGAUUAUUAGUUUACAGAUGAGAUUAUUAGUUUACAGAUGAUGAGAUUAUUAGUUUACAGAUGAUGAGAUUAUUAGUUUACAGAUGAGAUUAUUAGUUUACAGAUGAGAUUAUUAGUUUACAGAUGGUGAGAUUAUUAGUUUACAGAUGAUGAGAUUAUUAGUUUACAGAUGAGAUUAUUAGUUUACAGAUGAGAUUAUUAGUUUACAGAUGACUCUCAGCAGUCUCUUUUAUACGGUGUGUUCAAGGUGAGAAUGUUUCUGUUAUUCCACCUCACCGUUCUGUAG